GGAGUGAUAAUGCCGGCGAAUGUGGAAGUUGUAUUGACGAGUGAGGUGAGUGAGCCGGCGUAGUUGGGUGCGAGGUCCAACGCGUUCACCUACGCAAACAAGCAACAGACUUAGUAUGAGAUUGUAUGUCUAGAGACAUCAGCGUUAAUA